CUCCCGUUGAUCCUGCCGGACCCGACUGCUAUCAGAGUGGGACUAAGCCAUGCGAGUCAACGCAGCAAUGCGUGGCAUACGGCUCAGUAACACGUAGUCAACAUGCCCAGGGGACGUGGAUAACCUCGGGAAACUGAGGAUAAACCGCGAUAGGCCAAGAUUUCUGGAAUGGAUAAUGGCUGAAAUCUAUAUGGCCCCUGGAUUGGACUGCGGCCGAUCAGGCUGUUGGUGAGGUAAUGGCCCACCAAACCUGUAACCGGUACGGGCUCUGAGAGGAGGAGCCCGGAGAUGGGCACUGAGACAAGGGCCCAGGCCCUAUGGGGCGCAGCAGGCGCGAAACCUCUGCAAUAGGCGAAAGCCUGACAGGGUUACUCUGAGUGAUUUCCGUUAAGGAGAUCUUUUGGCACCUCUAAAAAUGGUGCAGAAUAAGGGGUGGGCAAGUCUGGUGUCAGCCGCCGCGGUAAUACCAGCACCCCGAGUGGUCGGGACGUUUAUUGGGCCUAAAGCAUCCGUAGCCGGUUCUACAAGUCUUCCGUUAAAUCCACCUGCUUAACAGAUGGGCUGCGGAAGAUACUAUAGAGCUAGGAGGCGGGAGAGGCAAGCGGUACUCGAUGGGUAGGGGUAAAAUCCGUUGAUCCAUUGAAGACCACCAGUGGCGAAGGCGGCUUGCCAGAACGCGCUCGACGGUGAGGGAUGAAAGCUGGGGGAGCAAACCGGAUUAGAUACCCGGGUAGUCCCAGCUGUAAACGAUGCAGACUCGGUGAUGAGUUGGCUUCUUGCCAACUCAGUGCCGCAGGGAAGCCGUUAAGUUUGCCGCCUGGGGAGUACGGUCGCAAGACUGAAACUUAAAGGAAUUGGCGGGGGAGCA
rnacentral:rRNA from 1 species